CGGUGGGGGGCAGCUGCAUCCACACCGCCUUCUUCACCUGCUGUUUCCCGGCGGCCUGAUCUAACCGUGGGAUCCAGCCGAGGGUGGCAAGCGGCUUUGCUGGGAAGCGAUGAUCUGCAGGGGCGUCUCCUGCUCCCGAGUUGCGAGCGAGCUUUCUCUGCGGGCUUCAGCCUUGUGCUCAGCUUGCCUGCCCGCCUGCCUGCUUGGAAGUCAGCGCCUUUCAGCCUGGGGCACAUCGACAUCAAGGCUUCAGCUCCCACUUACUCAGGCGGGGUGGGGGAUAACAAAGGAGGGGCCGAUUGUGACAUAAGGCACCAUAAUGAUGCUACAGGGACGUUUUCCCCCUGCACGUGGAGACAGGCUCCCAGCACAAUGACAGCGCUGCCUAGCGGUGCUUUGAAAUUACAGUAAAACAUCAAGAUUCAGUAUUGUCUCCCGAAGCAGACGGAUUCCAACACCAACUUUUGGAAGAAUAUUUAGCAGCUUUGCAGAGAGACUGGGUCUAAAAAGGUCACCUUCCUUCCUGUGGAGCAGCUUUUGGAGGCCAAGUGCUUCCUGGCCAGUGACCUUGCUGUUGAGAGCACCUUCUAGCCCUUGGACAUCUCCCACUUGCUGCAAGAGUUCAGCAGCAAAGCAGUGGAGGUGGAGGUGCUGCUGGAGGCCUCCCAUAAGAUCACUCCGGGGUCUACAAUGGAGAGCAGAAAAGUGGCCAUCUUAGCUUAUCAUCACCUGGAGAAAGUGGUUGAAUACCUCCUCCAAUUUCUUUUCGUGUAUGGGGCACUCAAGCUUCUACCGGCCUAAGGGAGAUGUUGGGAAUCUGCAGGGCUUGCUCAGAAAGUAGCUCUCUCCCCGAGGGGGGAGGCCAGGCAGCUGGAGAACCCGGUCCCCACAGUGUCAGCAGCCAGACUCCAAAUCUCUUCCUCCAUCUGGAUUCCCAGCUGAUUUGCUGCCUCAUGGCAACAGACAGAAGAUUUGGAGGGCUCCUACCGUGGUACCAUAGCCAGGUUAGGUCCUUUAACAGGAAGAGCAACAGAGCAGAAGCCAAGAAGGCAGGGACAGGCCUCUGUCCUCUAGGGGAGGCAGCAAGGGGUGAGAUUGGUGCAGGUUUCCCCUCUCUUUUUGCCAUCUGCAGAGAUGCAGCAGCACAGAGGGGCUGAUC